CGCCCUGGCGCGCGGGCCGCGGCAGAGGACGCGGCGGCGGCGGCGCGGGAAGAUGGCGGCGGCCGCGGCGCGGAGCAGGUACGGGCACGGCGGGGCCGGGGCUGUCAUUGUCACUGUCACUGUCCGGCCCCGGCAGCACUGUGUGACAGCCGGCACCCCGCUGGGGAGGAGGAGCCGGGCUGGGGGCCGCAGCCGCCCCUUUCUCUCCCUCCUCGUUCGCUGACGUUUCCCUACCGGGUUUGCUGUGCAGCUGUAACUUGCUGGUGCAGAAGAACCUGUGUGCUAGAGCUGGAGUCCUGUGGAAGCAGCCUCCUUCAAGGACAUUUUUCAGUGACAGGAAGAAGCUUCACACUGCUCCGGUGGGGCAAGUCUUCCGCCUGCGGCCCUUCCAUGUGCUGGUGGCUACAGGUGGAGGAUAUGCAGGAUACAGAAAAUAUGAGGAUUACAAGUUGGAACAGCUGGAGAAGAGGGGCAUAGAGGUGCCUGUGAGACUUGCAAGUGAAUGGGAGGUAAGAAACUUGGGGCAAUUUUACCUCUGCCACCUCUGAGGCAAAGCGCCUUUGCUUCCAUUUCAGCAGAGGAAUCUUUAAUUUGCCUGGACAAAGUUCUUGACAACUCAUGGAACUAAAGUUUCUGUCACUCCAGAAACUCAUUUUGACUGAAGUCAUGAUACAUUAGGAACUGCCAGCAUCUCCUCCAUGUUUUAGUGUGGCUGACACCAUAUGUGCUUUACAAGAAAGCUGAGAUGGAAUUAAUGCCUGGUUAAUAAAAAUUACCUGUUUCUUGUAUGAAUAUACAGCAAGACCUUUUUUUCAUAAAGUAACAUUUAGGUCUGUAAUUCUUCUUGAUCCUGAAGGAUUUUUGCCUUUUCCUUUUGGAUUCCGAGGAGUUGAAAAAUUAUUGUGGAAUUGCAGGGGGUGUGUAUCAGAUUCAUAGGUCAAAUACCCAUUGCAGCACUGAAGUGAGAAAUACUUCAUGGCUUCCUAGAACUGCUGUAUUGCCUUUGAAGUAUCAAGUAUAUUGUACAACUCCAUGUUGGACAGUUUAAAAUAUAUGUGAUAUUCUUCCAAAGAGCCAGUUGAGUGCCUGCUUCAGUGGCACUUCUGAAGGCAAGGAGUUAAAGAUUCUGGGAUUGUAAGGUUGUGCAGGAGAUGCUUCAGUAUGACCUUUGGCACUGUUUCUUUACAUUCCUGAGCACACUGCCAGUGCUUGAGUGAUUUGGCCACAUGCCUGUGGGGGACUAGGCUGGAAUCCCUAAAUUGAUUUUCAGUAGUGACCCAGACCAGAUAUAUGAUCCAGACAGUCCAGAUGCUAACAGCUUAGCCUGAUAGCUCCUGAGGAAUCUGCCUGUAAAUCUGUCUUUUGUAUAUUCUUUUCCUGCUGAAGUUUGUUUCAAAUGGGUUCUGAUUAAAAAAUAUCUUGGUAAGUAUCCUCAGAGUAUUUAUUUAACAAAGCAAUGUCAAUUCAAUUUUGAUACUUGAAAACAAAUACUCUUGUUAUUGUUCAUACUUUUUGGUAUGAAAUUGGGUAGUUCUCUUAUUGCAUUUGCCUUCUUUCAUUAUACUGAUAUGUGGGUUGGUUAUUUGGUGAAGCUGGGAGCAUUGCUUUUGAUGAAACAGCUCUAAAGGAUUUGGUUUUUCCAGUGGGGAAACACAGAGAAUUUCAAACUGAUGGGCAGGGCCUCAAAUGCAGCAGACUCUAGUAGGAGACACUAAGAAGAUGUCCCAGUCCUCCUGAUGUGUUUUAAGUUCUGUUGAAUGCUUCUGUGAGAGGGAAAGAAAGCUCCGUGGUUAGGAGGAAAAGGAGAAACUGUGGUCAGACAUUGAGAGAAAUAUUUCAAACAAUGAAGGAUUCAAGAAACACAAGAGCUGCAUUGUUGCUUUUUAUUGUAAAGUGAAGUGGGUUUUUUUGCUGACCUAUCAUUUUCCAUUGUUCUGGUUUUUUGCAUCACUAGACACAGGCUAAGGGGUGUGGAAAGGGGGGUGUCGUCCUGUUUUUAGGGCAGAAUAAUCAAAGAGAGACCAAGUGUGUUUGAAUGGGCUUUGAAUACUUCGAAAGAGUAACACAAAACAAGAAACUGCACAUGCCCUCACUGCCGAGCCUGCUGCUCUGAAGGGCUGAUUGCACAGUCCCAGCCUCGUGUUCCUGUGGGAAUGUGGACCCUCUUCCACCUGCCAGCUCUGUGUGUGAGGCAGAUUCCCCUGCUUCUGAGCACAAGACACACAUUAAAUGGCCAAUCCUCACCCUGUUGAGCU
rnacentral:lncRNA from 1 species